rnacentral:rRNA from 1 species
UACGUAGGGUGCAAGCGUUGUCCGGAAUUACUGGGCGUAAAGAGCUCGUAGGUGGUUUGUCGCGUUGUUCGUGAAAACUCACAGCUUAACUGUGGGCGUGCGGGCGAUACGGGCAGACUUGAGUACUGCAGGGGAGACUGGAAUUCCUGGUGUAGCGGUGGAAUGCGCAGAUAUCAGGAGGAACACCGGUGGCGAAGGCGGGUCUCUGGGCAGUAACUGACGCUGGAGGAGCGAAAGCCGUGGGGAGCGAACAGG